AUGCACGCUGGCGGCGUGCCUAAUACAUGCCAGUCGAGCGAACGGACGAGAAGCUUGCUUCUCUGAUGUUAGCGGCGGACGGGUGAGUAACACGUGGAUAACCUACCUAUAAGACUGGGAUAACUUCGGGAAACCGUAGCUAAUACCGGAUAAUAUUUUGAACCGCAUGGUUCAAAAGUGAAAGACGGUCUUGCUGUCACUUAUAGAUGGAUCCGCGCUGCAUUAGCUAGUUGGUAAGGUAACGGCUUACCAAGGCAACGAUGCAUAGCCGACCUGAGAGGGUGAUCGGCCACACUGGAACUGAGACACGGUCCAGACUCCUACGGGAGGCAGCAGUAGGGAAUCUUCCGCAAUGGGCGAAAGCCUGACGGAGCAACACCGCGUGAGUGAUGAAGGUCUUCGGAUCGUAAAACUCUGUUAUUAGGGAAGAACAUAUGUGUAAGUAACUGUGCACAUCUUGACGGUACCUAAUCAGAAAGCCACGGCUAACUACGUG
rnacentral:rRNA from 1 species